rnacentral:rRNA from 1 species
AUACGUAGGGGGCGAGCGUUGUCCGGAAUGAUUGGGCGUAAAGGGCGCGUAGGCGGCCCGGUAAGUCUGGAGUGAAAGUCCUGUUUUUAAGAUGGGAAUUGCUUUGGAUACUGUCGGGCUUGAGUGCAGGAGAGGUAAGUGGAAUUCCCAGUGUAGCGGUGAAAUGCGUAGAGAUUGGGAGGAACACCAGUGGCGAAGGCGACUUACUGGACUGUAACCGACGCUGAGGCGCGAAAGUGUGGGGAGCAAACAGGAUUAGAUACCCUGGUAGUCCACACUGUAAACGAUGAAUGCUAGGUGUAGGGGGUAUCGACCCCUUCUGUGCCGCAGUCAACACAAUAAGCAUUCCGCCUGGGGAGUACGGCCGCAAGGUUGAAACUCAAAUGAAUUGACGGGG